rfam:Pteropus alecto contig11770, whole genome shotgun sequence.
UUGCUCGCUUCAGCAGCACAUACACUAAAAUUGAAACGAUACAGAGAAGAUUAGCAUGGCCCUUGCUCAAGGAUGAUACGCCAAUUCGUGGUAUUCCAUAUACAAAA